GACGAACGCUGGCGGCGUGCUUAACACAUGCAAGUCGAGCGGUAAGGCCCUUUCGGGGGUACACGAGCGGCGAACGGGUGAGUAACACGUGGGUGACCUGCCCUUAGCUCUGGGAUAAGCCUGGGAAACUGGGUCUAAUACCGGAUAUGACUCCAUGACGCAUGUUGUGGGGUGGAAANCCUUGUGCGGCUAGGGAUGGGCCCGCGGCCUAUCAGCUUGUUGGUGGGGUGAUGGCCACCAAGGCGACGACGGGUAGCCGGCCUGAGAGGGCGACCGGCCACACUGGGACUGAGACACGGCCCAGACUCCUACGGGAGGCAGCAGUGGGGAACCUUGCGCAAUGGGCGAAAGCCUGACGCAGCGACGCCGCGUGGGGAUGACGGCCU
rnacentral:rRNA from 1 species